AAUGGAUAGCAUACAAGCAGAUUUCCUACUACAUUUCCUCUGAGUGGAAGAACUGGACUGAAAGCAGACAAGACUGUUUGCAGAGAGGAGCAGAUCUGGUCAUCAUAAACAACGAAGAGGAACAAGAAUAUAUUAAAAGGGUUACUAGUGGAAACGUUGUGUGGAUUGGUCUGACUGACAGUGAUAAUGAAGGGGUCUGGAAGUGGGUUGAUGGCAGCACACUGCACACUAGCUUUUGGAGUUUCUGGGGCCCCAGUGAGCCCAAUAGCAGAGUUGAAGAUGAGGACUGUGCUGUAUCUCAGUAUAGCUGGGCUGAUUAUCCAUGUCAUGAUACCUUUGUAUGGAUUUGUGAGAGGAAUUAAGAGGUUUAACAAAGCUGUUGCUUCAAAUAUGUUCAUCCUAAGUAAAGCAGUAACCAAAUAGAUUUGUUGUAAUGUGAAACACAGUAAAAAGAGUUAGGGGUACUGUUCUUAUUUUUUUU